AAAACAGGGAUGAACGCUAGCGACAGGCCUAACACAUGCAAGUCGAGGGGCAUCGGGGGAGUAGCAAUACUUCCGCCGGCGACCGGCGCACGGGUGAGUAACACGUAUGCAACCUGCCCAUGUCAGGGGGAUAAUCGGAAGAAAUUCCGUCUAAUACCGCGUAUAACGGGGAUCCGGCAUCGGAAACCCGUGAAAGGAGCAAUCCGGACAUGGAUGGGCAUGCGGGACAUUAGCUAGUUGGCGGGGCAACGGCCCACCAAGGCGACGAUGUCUAGGGGUUCUGAGAGGAAGGUCCCCCACACUGGUACUGAGACACGGACCAG
rnacentral:rRNA from 1 species